rnacentral:rRNA from 1 species
CACCGACGGCCAGUCCCAUGUGAUAUUCUUUCAACGAGUCGAGUUGUUUGGGAAUGCAGCUCAAAAUGGGUGGUAAAUUCCAUCUAAAGCUAAAUAUUGGCGAGAGACCGAUAGCGAACAAGUACCGUGAGGGAAAGAUGAAAAGCACUUUGGAAAGAGAGUUAAACAGUAUGUGAAAUUGUUGAAAGGGAAACGAUUGAAGUCAGUCGUGUCUAUUGGACUCAGCCGGUUCUGCCGGUGUACUUCCUUUAGAUGGGGUCAACAUCAGUUUUGAUCGCUGGAAAAGGGCAGGAGGAAUGUAGCACUCUCGGGUGGACUUAUAGCCUUCUGUCGCAUACAGUGGUUGGGACUGAGGAACGCAGCUUGCCUUUAUGGCCGGGAUUUAUCCACGUACAAGCUUAG